AUAAACCUGUUUUGGUGCAUCCAAAGGAGGGCCAUAAAAAUGAUCCAAAGGAUGGAAUAAGAUGGAACAACUCUCCAAUGAGGACAGGCUGAGAGAGCUGAGGCUGUUCAUCUUGGAGAAGAGAAGGCUUUGAGGAGAAAAUGAAGGAAGAUAUCAACGUUGCAACAGUUACUUUCCAUCAACAAUUGCUCAUUUAUUUUACCUCCUACAGCUGUGGUAGUAUGCACAACACAGUGGUUUCUCCUCGGCAUCAGUUCAAAAGAAGCUCAAAAACAAAUGAAAGAAAAUACGAGUUCCAUGUCUGAAGUGAGGAGAUUAAGGGAUACUGGACAACUCAUCUCUGAAGAAACUUCAGAGAGCUUUAUUUUUGGCAGCUGGACGGUUGUUCCAAUAGUGCUGUGCAGCUUGCUGGAUGGAGGAGGAUAUUGACUGAUGUGACACCUGCUUGCUGUGAGUCUUACUCUGGUUCCUCUGCAACUUCUCUACAGUGUUACAAAAUAAAGUUGAUGGCACAGGACCUCAGUUUUGAAGUUAAUGUUUGGUGCCUGGGACAUCUCAAAAUUCAAGAGCUGAACUUUUUGGGAUGAAAAUCUUCGGAGAGAAUCAGGCAUUGAUCUAUUAUUUUCUUAGUCAGAGCUUCCACCAUGAGGCUGCCAAAGAAAUAAAUGUCACCUUCUUCACUUUCUUCAGAUGCAGUUUUUGGAAGUGAUAACUGGAACUGCAGUCUGUGAUAUAUAAAAUAUAAGUGUACAUUGGAUUGAGCUCCCGAAAAGGAUUUUGGUAAUGGGAUGUCCUGUUUCUGGAUCCUGUUUAGGCAAUGGGAUUUAGGAUGCUCUACCUAUUAAGAUAGAUACUGUUGCAAUGCAUAUACAGAAAUGAAAUUUUAUGAUUUAGUUCUGAACAACAUUGAGGCACUGAGGUAUAAUCAGCUAGUAAUAGUUGAAAGCAUUGUUUUUCAGAGUAACAGAUUUGUAUUCAAAUAUAUGAAUUCUAACCCACUCCCACUUUGAGUGAUUUGCUAUCUGAGUGAGCAGCAGGAAAUCUUGCAGAUAUUUUUCACUGCAGCAUCCUGAAGAAGCUCAUACUAUUUUCUUUUUUUGUCGUCUUCUUGGUUUUACAGACAUAAUAUAUCCCUAUAUGUUUCUCCAGCAGAACUACAGAUGUCUCCCAUUACUUUUCUACAGCAACAUGGGUUAGAGCUUUCUCUAU
rnacentral:lncRNA from 7 species